CGGCAAUUGACGUAACUCGAUUGUCGUAUGCUUCUGUCGGUACGCCAACUUUUCCACCUCAGCCAAGCAUAAAAAUGAUCUUUUUCUAAAUUCCCGUGUUUCCACUCAGGGAAGUUCUGGAGUUCUGGAGCGCCUUUUUUCGGGAUUUCCAAGCGGAUUUAUGGAGGUUUAUUCCCGAUGAACAUUGGAGAUGUUGACAUCCUUUGGAAAGGAUGUCGAGCAGCGCCGCAGAGCAGAGCUCAGCAUCUCCCGUUCAGUCAAGAAAUGGCCCGAGGUGUCGCCAUGCAAACCCGCGCAGCCUGUACCAAUGAGGAGAAGUCGGCUUCCUCCGAACCAGCUCUGAUUGGCUGAGUUUCUUAAGUCCGCUAUUGUGAAGGAUCAUUCCCCCUUCAGAGGACACCUGAUCAGCCUGGUAUGGAGCUUUGGUUCACUGUACUACAAGCCAAAGGUGAAGG